GGCAGCCUCUGCCCUAAGGGUCAAGCUGCACCCUUCUUGAAGGUUCCUUGGGCAAGUCCAAGCCCUUAAUCUGUUGACCUGGCCCAGAAAGCUGAUUGCUGGGUGCUCGGAGGCCACCACUACUACACCUUUGAUGGCCUGGUGUUUAACUAAUAUGGAAACUACUCUGGUCAGAAAUGCACCCACGCCAGUACUGCAGAACCCUUCUCGGUAAUGGUGCAAACCGACCAUGCUCAGAACCACUUUUCAUCUAUUAAAGCGCUACAGCUCACUGUGUACAAGGACCACACUGUUAUCCAGAGCGGCUGUUGUUGGGUGAAUGGCCAGAGAAGGCUCCUGCCUGUGACUCUCCAUUCUGGCUCGGUGAAGAUCCAUCAGAGCAGUCUGUUCUCGGCCGUUGACACCAGCUUCGGCCUCCAUGUCAAAUACGACUGGUUCUACUACAUCCUGGUAAGCCUGCCCAGGAGAAGCUCUGA
ensembl:lncRNA